rnacentral:misc_RNA from 1 species
AUCAGUCGAGAAGAGCUCUGUUGUUUUGUAAUUUUGACUUUUAGAUUGGAAACCAUUAUGGGUGUUUUAGCUUUAUUAUUUAUUAUUCAGUAGCAUUUUAUUUUUGUUGCUCGGUAGUUUCAGUGGAUAUUUGGUCUUGCAAAUCCUUUUGGGUACCUUUAGCUGAAGAUCAGUUAGCGUGUCUACGUUUCCCUGGCNNNNNNUUAUUUUGCUUUUCUAUUGAAUCUUUUGCAAAAUGAUGCAUAACAAUACACUUUAGAGGGGCC